UACCACUGAGCACGAAUAUGGCGUCAAAUUUUCUCCUACACUGAAACUGCCCAUCCGGAGCCCUCAGCCCCCUCCUGAAUUUCUAUUCAUUUUUGAAAUAAAGUUAUGUACUUUGAUGAAUUUGGUGUCGUUUUCGUUGUUUUCUUAUGAUUCGAUACUCACUCAGCCCUCUCCUAAAUUUCCACCAUUUUCAAAAUUAAGCUGCUUUUACAACAUGGAAUCUUUUUCAUACGAAUUUCGCGCUCAGCAGUAUCGAAUCACAAGAAAACGACAUCAAUAUCAUCAACGAAAUUCGAAAAUAUAAGGCAAAAACUUUCAAAAAAUCACAAUUCCUCAGAAGUGAAAUACAAACAUAAUUUUUGAUAAGAGGUUUUGAAUUGAAUGGUAAUAUGCAAGCUGGAAAGGAGAAAAGGCAGAAAAAUGUACUUUUCGCGUGGUGUUAUUUUUAAUUCUUCAAUUUGUGCACUCGCGAUUGAAAAUAAACAUUAGUAGUAGGAACCAUUUUGUUGGAAAUUGAUUUUCCUACAAGAUGGUACUUUCAUUUUUAUAAUUAUCUUAUAGUUAGCUCAUAAUUUUCCUGAAUGAAUGCUCAUUUUUCAACAUAAAACGUCUAGUGGUUUUCCAAAACGCAUUAAGUCCAUGUUUUUCAACACUUGUUGAAUCUCUUGUGCAACAUUCAACUCAACACCGCGUGUUGGAUCAUAUCAAGCUAUACCUAAACUUCAAUGUUAGGUUGGUUGCAUACUCAAAAUAAGCCCUCUAAUGAAAUAGGAGUAUGUUUUAUGCUUUUUCUCGGAACUUACUUUUGGGACUUAAUGCGUUUUGGAAAACCACGCUUCAAUUCUAUAACAUGAAAACUUCAGUAAAAACAACUAAUUUUAUUCGCUUUUAUUUAUUUUUUAGAAGAAAACGAGAAGAAAGGUAGGCACCGAAAAUGAAAAAAUUUAUCCUCUCAACUAAUUCUGUGUGAACAUUGAAUUUUAUUUUAAUAACCACUUGCUCUUAUUUAUUUAUUUUUUUUUCACUUUUUCAUGGAUUAGAAACGGUACAGUGCUUGACGAAAUGUGCCGAUAAUUUUAUGAAUAGAAUUACAGAUUAUUUAAGAAAGGCGAUACGCCAAGUUAUGAAUUCACGAUUAAGUAAACAAAUCGAGAGUGACCCCAGAAUGCUGAAAUGUAUUCCAAAUUCAUCACAGGAAUUCACUACAGAAAAAUUUUCUUCGGAACUUGAAAAGGCCAACGACACAUUGAGUAAGUAUUUGUAUAAUUAUUAGGGUGGAUUACAAAAGAAAAAACAUAUCAAUUUCCUGUGCUGAUCAAACGAUGUUCCUGCAGUGAUGAGACAAAAACAGAGGUUUGAACGUUUGAACCCUAACAAGAUUCAUCGGAAGUGCCCAUCAAAUGUAUUUUUUGCGUAAAAUUUACUAUAGGUACCCAAAAAGUCCUACUUUCUUGUCAAAACUGCAAACAAAUCGUGGUUUUUUGCCCAAAAACAUGAUUUUUGCCAAAAUUUCAAAAAAAGUGUUGGUUUUUCUAAGAUUUAAGAAAAGUUUGCUUUUUUAAGGAUUUCAAAGAAGUUUCGAUUUUUGCCAGAAAUUCGAAAAGUAUCCAUUUUCCACAAAUUGAAGAAAAGUCCUGAUUUUUAGUCGAGUUUUCAAAAAAGUCAAGAUUUUUGGCCAUAAAAAAAGAGUUCCGGUUUUUGACUAGAGUCAAGAAAGUCCUCAUUGUUUAGGAUUUCAAAGGAGUCAUGAUUU